rfam:Acidovorax sp. KKS102, complete genome.
CGCUACCGCUAGGGGUGUCGAUGUGGGCCCGCCCGCUUCGACUGAGAGAGUCCCUUUGAACCUGAUUGAGAUCAUCCUCGCGCAGGGAAGCAAGUCCGCCAAAGC